rnacentral:pre_miRNA from 1 species
GCUGAGAGGAACGUUGUCUGGCUCGAGGAACUUUGUCCGAUGAUCGGAUCUGAUCUGAUCUGAUCUGUGCGAUUCUCGGACCAGGCUUCAUUCCUCCCAUC